UCCUUGGUGGUCUAGUGGUUAGGAUUCUGAACUUUCAGUGACAUUGCCCAGGUUCAACCCCUGGUCAGGGAA
rnacentral:tRNA from 1 species